AAAAUGCUAUCACUCGCUGAAGAGGUAUCAAUGCUAGUUAUAUUAUUUUAUUGUUGCCCUUUUGUACUUUUUUCUAGUCAAUAUUUUUUGUCAAUUAGCACUGCAACAACCUGAAAGCCAACUAGGCUUAGAAAAGUAUAUAACGAAAGUUUCUUUGCUAUGGAGACUCCAAUUUUAUCCAUUCUGUUGCUAGUUUAUUCCCCUAACUUUAUCCAUUCUGUUGCUAGUCUCUACCAAUAUGUUUUUCUUCCUAACCCAUUGGAUCAAUGCUCCAACAUUAUUCUUCUAUUGUCAUUCCCCUGAAAUUUGUAUAAGAGAUUCAAACACCCUAGUACGGUAGUGUGAUAAGUUAAUAGGGGAAGGGGGAGGCCUCAAAUGAUGUGGAGGGAACAAGUUUUGGAUGUUGAAGUGGAUCUGGUAUCUAACAGAGCUGAAUGGUGAAAACAAUCUAUAUGGCUAACCCCAACUAGUUUAGGAUUAAGGGUUAGUUGUAGUUGUCACUGCUGUUGUUAUUGUCAUUAUGGUAUAACAAUGACCUUAACCCCAACUAGUUUGGGACUAAACUUAGUUGUAGUUGUUAUUGUCAUUAUGGUAUUCCAAUGACCUUAACCCUAUACCAAUGUUAUUGUUGUCAUUAACCCUAAACCUUGCCAUUGUUACAUUAUGUAUAUAUUUUGUGGGAUAAAUUUUGACAACUGUCCCUUAACUUAUCUAGUUGUAAUAUUACAGUCCCUCAACUUAAAAACGUAACAUAAAACCCCAUCAACUU
rnacentral:misc_RNA from 1 species